AUCUCCGGACAAACGUCAGCCGAAUCUAUGACGGUUCUAAGGUAGCUUAAUUCCUUGUCGGUUAGUUUCCGACCUGCAUCAAAGUUUGAACAAUUUACCUUAUGUCACACUUUAUUAUUGUGGAAUUUGUCUCUGUUGUCAGGAUCCAGCAGUGUAGUCAAAAGACAAAAAGACCCUAUGAACCCUUUUAGUA
rnacentral:rRNA from 12 species